CCUGUCGCACUAUCACACGGGCUACAAUUUCACGCCUAAUGGUAAGCUAGCAAAAUGAGCUUCAAGGAGACAAGAACAAAAGUCCCACUGAUUCUACAUUAAGGAAGCAUCUGAGUCUCUCAACACGCAGCAUUACCAGUUUCCAGCUCCCCCUGCUGGUGGGCGCGUUUCAGGGAGAGGGCGCCUAAAACUCUCUGGCAUGAAGAGCAGUGGAAUAGCAGACAACACGGCCAUACACCCCAUGGUCACGUACGUCAGUUGCAGCAGAAACGGUGCAAUGCAGCCUCCGAUCCUGGAACCCAUGCUGCACAUCCCCGUCGCCGUGUUCCUCAAUCCGGUCGGGUAGAGCUCGGCACAGUAGAAGUAGAGUAUCGACGUGGCGGCCGUUACGGCGAAUUUACCCAGCAUCUCCAAGGCGACGGCCACCCCUAAUACACCUGAGAGCGACAUUUUUGAGGCACCAAAGGAAUGAAGAAGAGCGACAGAGCCGAUACCACACAGGUCAGGAGGUAGGCCACGCGUCGUGGGAGGAAGCGCAUGGCAAAGCAGGUGCCGAAGUACGCCGGCAGCUCCACCACGGCCGACAGGAAGCAGCUGAUGUACGGGUCCGAGUGGAGUUGCGAUGUGUUCAGGGUCAGGCCGUAGUAUGAGAGACUCUGAGUAAACCUGCAGAUCCAGCAAAGUGUAUCGCUGCACAAACGGUGCUUCUGGUGUUUCUCCCUGCAAGAUGCAUCACCUUUCCUCACGAUGGUCUCAGCCUCCGCCACUCGUCCCUGAGACAACAACCACAUUGGAGACUCCGGGAGGAACCUGUCGCACACACACAGAAUGACAAAAUGACAGCAAGUAACAACUUUCAGGUAAACAAAUCCUGCAAGCAAUGUGUCACCACGGUACUGGAUGGGACGACCAACAGCCUGAACAUCUAAAAUCACAAUGGGAGGAAUGGAGACAGGAUCUCGCCAACCUGGAUCAAACACAGUGCAGGACGCAAGCGAUGGAUGGACCGUUCGCUCUCCUUUCAGCGACGUACCUGUCUGACAGCACUCCCGAGAAGAAGGAUCCAACAAGAACUCCGAGGAAAAAAAUAGUGGCGGUGAGCGGUUGCCUCCAGCGCUUACUGCACACCAGGUCAAACUGGAAAUGCAAGAAGUGUGAUGGCUGAUAAAUAUCAAGCAAGGUCAAACAUCAAUCAGAGUUGGCGGCUGUAGUUCCAGCCGUCCAAGCAGUCCUCCUGCUCCAGGCUGCUCAGGUUGACAUCCCGCCCGGGGACCACACCCAUGUCAGAGAGGUUGCGGACCUGGUCAAGCCUGUACCUGCGGCACUGGCUCAUCUCCAGCUCCCCGUUCACCUCCUGGGAAGUCAAACCACAAGGUUGACCUCGGGGACCAGGCAGUGGUGUGCGGGCGUGUCCGCCACAAACACCAGGGAGAAGGAGCUGGUUCCAUUGGGCAGGAUGGUGGAACAAAGCAUGAAGAAGACAAUCACCUGAAAGCGGCCCCACUCUCCCAGGAAGGCCACACUGGUGUCAUAGUCCCUCAUGGUGCAACCUGAUCCAACCUUCUCUUCUCAGCUUUUGUAUUUCUCCUUUUUGUCUCUGCAUAUUACACCU